CCUACGGGUGGCAGCAGUGGGGAAUAUUGGACAAUGGGGGCAACCCUGAUCCAGCCAUGCCGCGUGUGUGAAGAAGGCCCUCGGGUUGUAAAGCACUUUCAGUGAGGAAGAACGCCUGGUGGUUAAUACCCAUCAGGAAAGACAUCACUCACAGAAGAAGCACCGGCUAACUCCGUGCCAGCAGCCGCGGUAAUACGGAGGGUGCGAGCGUUAAUCGGAAUUACUGGGCGUAAAGCGCGCGUAGGUGGCUUGAUAAGCCGGUUGUGAAAGCCCCGGGCUCAACCUGGGAACGGCAUCCGGAACUGUCAAGCUAGAGUGCAGGAGAGGAAGGUAGAAUUCCCGGUGUAGCGGUGAAAUGCGUAGAGAUCGGGAGGAAUACCAGUGGCGAAGGCGGCCUUCUGGACUGACACUGACACUGAGGUGCGAAAGCAUGGGUAGCAAACAGGAUUAGAUACCCCAGUAGUC
rnacentral:rRNA from 1 species